AUGGAGGCGGCGAAGGAGAGGCGGGAGCGGAAGGCCGCCGGCGCCGGCGAGGGCGGCGACUCGGUGCAGCUGCCGACGGAGACGAGCCCGUACGUGCAGUACAAAAAGGACGACGGCCUGGAGGACUACAAGAUGCGGGCCUACGGCGCGCAGGGCCACCUCCCCGUCUCCGACGUCCCCCACGGCUCCGGCACCGACGCGCCCACCAUCCCCGGCACCGCGUUCCCGACUGAGCACCUGAACCUGCACGGGCGCCAGCAGCCGCAGCGGGGUGCCCAGGGAGGAGGCGCUGGCGUUCGCCGCACCGACGACGACGAGGCUGCCACCGACACCAUCAACCGCCACGGCGUGCCGUAG
rnacentral:rRNA from 1 species